rnacentral:SRP_RNA from 1 species
GCUGGGCACAGUGGGAGGUACUUGUAGUCCCGGAUAGUUGAGGCUGAGGUGGGAGGAUCCCUUGAGCCAAGGAGUUCUGGGCUGUAGUGUGCUACACCAAUUGCGUGUCCGCACUAAGUUCAGCAUCAAUAUGGUGACCUCCCGGGAGCGGGGGAACACCAGGUUGCCUAACGAGGGGUACACAGGCCCAGUUUGGAAGCGGAGCAGGUCAAAACUCCUGUGCUGAUCAGUAGUGGGAUCACACCUGUGAAUAGGCACUGCACUCCAGCCUGGGCAACAUAGCGUGACCCCAUCUCU